UACGGAGGGAGCUAGCGUUAUUCGGAAUUACUGAGCGUAAAGCGCACGUAGGCGGCUUUGUAAGUCAGAGGUGAAAGCCUGGAGCUCAACUCCAGAACUGCCUUUGAGACUGCAUCGCUUGAAUCCAGGAGAGGUGAGUGGAAUUCCGAGUGUAGAGGUGAAAUUCGUAGAUAUUCGGAAGAACACCAGUGGCGAAGGCGGCUCACUGGACUGGUAUUGACGCUGAGGUGCGAAAGCGUGGGGAGCAAACAGG
rnacentral:rRNA from 1 species